GAUGAAGAACGUAGUGAAAUGCGAUAAGUAAUGUGAAUUGCAGAAUUCAGUGAAUCAUCGAAUCUUUGAACGCACAUUGCGCCCGCCAGUAUUCUGGCGGGCAUGCCUGUCCGAGCGUCAUUUCAACCCUCGAACCCCUCCGGGGGGUCGGCGUUGGGGAUCGGCCCUCCCUUAGCGGGUGGCCGUCUCCGAAAUACAGUGGCGGUCUCGCCGCAGCCUCUCCUGCGCAGUAGUUUGCACACUCGCAUCGGGAGCGCGGCGCGUCCACAGCCGUUAAACACCCAACUUCUGAAAUGUUGACCUCGGAUCAGGUAGGAAUACCCGCUGAACUUAAGCAUAUCAAUAAGCGGAGGA
rnacentral:misc_RNA from 1 species